CUCAUGACUCUCCAGGGUCACGGUAACAACGGCUCUUGUUGGCUGUUGACCGUUUAGAGCUUCCAGGAGCCCUUCCAGUGGCUGCAGGGGCCUGUAAGAAGCUGCAUCCCGAGUUACCUGCGCUGAAUGCAUUCUUGAACACCUGCCUCACCAGCAUCUGCUGGGAAAGUAAUGCAGCUGGCUGCAAGCAACCAAGGGCACUCCUGCAGCGUGCAGAGGGACAACUUCCUGAUCCAGGUUUUAGGGACUAAACGCUCUUGAUGAAAAUGUGUCUCAAAGAGCUGGUUUUGACCUUGGUUCCUAGGGAGGGACAGUGGCUUUGUAACCCCCAGGGAUUGGAGCUCUGGAAUAUAUUUUGUCUUUCUGCCUAGGGAGAGAGAGUGUCUCAAUACUCUUCAAGACUCCUCAAGACUCUUCAAAUCCCUGGCUGUUAUUUACUUCACAGUACUUUUGCAGGUCAUUAAAACUCUGGUAUCUUCCUCCCACUCUCCAAGCACCCCCUUAUGUUGUUGCUCUUCGAUGACUGCCACCUGUGUGACCAGCCUUCCCAGCUAAGGAGCCACUAACACUGCAAAUAUCACUAUAUUGCCAUUAAUAGAACACACAGUAAGGUGCCCAAACAGCUGAAAUUACUUCUUCCAAACUGUAAUCUAUGGUAUUUAUCCACUAUGAACUUGAAACAGCACUUGCUGUUGUGCUGCUUGUUCACUGCUCCCAAGAAAGACCAUCCCAGUUAAACUUUUUUUCCCUAUAACAUCUUGUCAGAAAAUUAUUUUUCUUUAUUUCUUUUUUAUCUUCCACCAUUCCACUGCUCCUUUCUUCCUCUCUCUUAAUAUUCAUGAGUAAUGAAUUAAUAUUGAGAUCAUUGCCUCAAGGAAAGGUCAGGUCUGUGGUGAAUGGACAGUAUAAGAGUGCAGAAAUCUGAUGCCUGUCACUGGUUUGUCACAAGGAACUACAGGAAGUCAGCACAAGUCACCUGAAUUCCUCCAUAAAAUGAGGGAAAAGUGUUCCAUACCCUGACCCCAAAGGUUUUCUGGGAAUCCCCCCAAAGAAAGUUUCAUUUUUAGAACACGAAUUUUUUGGAAAAGCAAUUUUUCAUAAGUAAAAUCCCAAAAGAUGGCCAUGGAUAGAGAUCAGGAUGAUUAGAACUAUCAGGAUCAAAACAUCUAUACUUGUGGGUUAUUUUGCCAAAGAGUUUUGAUGUUCUUGUCCUGAGCUUUCAUGGGUAUCUCCCACUGUGGUGCUGAUGGAGGACAAGAUGGAAUUCCUCACAAGCACAGUGGGAUAAGGGCAGCUUCCCAGAACUGAGUGACAUUUGGUUUGUGUGGGGCCUUGUAAAAGGAAGUGCUUCAAACAGUAAAAUGGAUAUAUACAGAAUAAAGAAUGGGAGUUUGGUGACUAUUAAGAUUUUAAGGUGCUGAUACUGGAGCUCUGAAGUGGCUUGUAAAACAAGGUGAUUUCAAAGGGCCUGAAAUCCAGAGAAACAUAUCAAAAAAGGUUUUGCUUUGAAGGAGAUUGGGACAGUUAUUCACACAGGAGCAAGCAAACCUCCUGCCUGUUCGAGUGCACUUUGGAUUCUGGAGGAAUUGCUCUGACUUCACUCUGGCAAUCCAGCUGUCAGUUUGUUUAAGUAAACAUGUGUUCAGCACAAACAAUAAUGUUUUCUUCCAAAGGUUGCUGAACAUCUUCACAAAGUGGAUUAAUUAUGCAGUCAGCAGUUUCCCCUGAUUGUUGACAAAACUCCAAAGCUGGGAGAACAAUCAGCAGUUAAAGCACUGCAGCAUGUUUGUGUGUGAAAUUUGUGAAAUCAGGGAGUAUAGAAACAAAGUCUUCAAAAAAUCAGGAUUGUUUUGACUUUUGUUGAUGAAUGAUGAUGCUCAGAAGGAUUUGCAUUGCACCCCAGGAGCAGCUCUGAUGUUCUCUGAGAGUCAUCUCAUUACACCCAUAACAGCCAACGUCACUGAUUUCCUUUCUUCAAAAUUAAGGAUUGAGAAAUGUGAACGAGACUAGCUGGAAUACUGUCUGAAAUAUGACAAAAACCAAUGAAAAAUCUAUUGUUCUGUACUUACUUUUUAAAAAAGCUUGAAUACUUAUAAAACACUCUGGCCAGCUGUUGUUGUCAGACAUAAAGUGGUUAUCACAGUUAUCACUGUUGUUAUGAUGGAAAUGAUAACGAGCUCCCUGACGUCAACACAAGGCUCAAAAUAAUGUCCUCUGAAGCAUACAAAAAGCCUUGAAUAAAUAUUUCUCUCUUUAAAAAUGCCAUUGUAUGUGGAUAGAUUUAAAAAAUUAAAUAUAUUGUAAACUGAUCUGUAACUCAGCCAUGCAAAAUGUUGGAUCAAUUUUGAAAAUGUUUAGAGAUUUUAAUUCAUAGAAAUAUUAACAGAGGUUUUUUGGUGCAACUAUCAGAAUUUUCUUGCUUCCACUGUACCACUUCCAAGUAUUUGAGAAAUUAUGUCAUGGUAGAAUUGCAGGAUGGAGUGAAGUCACAGCUAGCAAGGCCUAAGUAAGCAAUUGGCCAUCUUUAGAUACCAUAGGAUUUCACAUAAAUGUAAGAAUCACAGGAAAAUUUAGGUUGGAAGGGACAUCAGACCAAUCUACUACUCAAAGCAAGAUGUUUUUAACCUAACUUGUAAGAGUUAUCUUAGUUACACUGUUGAAGAGCUACAGGAACACAAAUAGAAGAAGUAUUGUACCUUUUCUCACCUCAGAGAACACUUGAAACGUAUAAACAACACCCAUAACCAUCCACUUUGACAAAAUCCAUGUGCUGCUGUUACUAGAAACACUUACAGAAAUAAUUAUUUUCCCACAGAUGUUCAUUUGAAAUGUGUAAUUAGCAUUUCUAUAUAAGCAAUCUAUUCACAAUUACGCCCUAAAAUCUUUUGCUAAAAUGAUUAUUCUUUCACUUGGAUGUAGAAAUAUAUUCAGUCAAUCUAUCUGAUAACUCACAAUCUAAAAUAUCAAGUCUUGGAAAGAAAAAAGGUACAGCCUGUGUCAGAUGUGCAAACUUGGAAGCCCUUGCAUCAAAUCUACUCACCCUGCCACCAGUACAUGAAAGAAGCUUUUAUUUAGUGAAGUUUUAUCAAGUGAAGCCUGAGGAUGUAUCUCAUAUCCAUUUUUACUUCUCUAUAUGUAUUACUUGCAGUAAUUCACCUUGGUUGAAAUGAGGUUGAAUCAAAAUUUUGGUUGGUGUUUCUUUGAUGAACAUCUUACAGAUUUCCCCCUCUAAAUAUACUCAGCCUUAAAAAGGCAUCACUCAUGUCAAGCAAACUGAAGACCACUACUGCAUAAGUAAUGGCAAUUACAAAGCACUGGGGGGAAAACAAUUCCUCUUCCAGUACAUUUCAGUAUCUUGUAUAAAGAACCCUCACACUUCUAGAAACCUCCAGUAAAUGAGAAGCACCGAGCUUUUUGGCCUAGAAACCUGGAAAUGACAAUUGAGGUUUUUUUUGGUUGGGAUUUGAGCAGUCUUUUGUAGAACAACAUGAACACAUCAUUCAAUCCCUUCAUUACUCAUUGGAACCAUGCUUGCAUUUUUCACUGGAAAUACAGGCACUUCAGGAUACAAUAUUUUAUUUGCUUAGAGGGGAAAGACACCCCAACCAAACACUCUUACCUUCUUUCCAAAGGCUAUGCCAAUAAUCUUGCUUGCAAAGUCUCUUGUUUCAGUUCUUCCCACAACAGUUUCUUGACUGACUGCUUGGCACUGGGUGUUUGCUCUGGACCUGCCCACAGCUGUGUAGCUCUUUGCAGUUUUCCUGCUCUAGCUCCACAUGUACACAGUAGGAACUCCUCCAUGCUGAUUUUAAAAUAACAGGUGGCCUUUUCCAGUGUUUUUUUUUUUUCUGUACAGACACAAGAGAAAUAUCGAACUGGUGAUCUGUACUGCUGUCUCUCAGACAGUGGAGGUGGUAGUGAGAAAAACAAUGCCAAAAAUUAAUGCUUACUGUGGAAAAAAGCACAUCAAAUUGACUUGUAAUGGUCUGCUGUAGCAUUAUUUCUAAUUGGCAUCUCACUAUGUAAUUAGAUGAUUGUGCAACACACUUGAGCAAUAAUGCAAAACUAGAUCAUUUAUGGGAGAAAAAACGCUAGACUGGGUAAUCAGCAGUGUGCAAUACAUGUGGCCUGCACUGAAGUUUGCCACAUCUCAUUCAUCUUUUUAAAAAUUCCUGAAAUGUGCACACCAUUACUUCCCUAUUAUGGGGUGCCCUCCAGAAACCAGCAGCCUUUCUGCCUCUACACUCGAACAGCUCCUAGCCUGAGGGGCUUUUUGCAGCAGCCAUUCAAUGGAAAAAAUCCCAAAUACAACCACACAUUCACACAUGUUCCUCUGCCACAAUAAGAACUCCACCAAGGUUUGUUCUUCAGCACAACCCUCUCUAACUGAUCUCUCACAAAGUAGCUGUAAUGGCAGCUGAAGACAUCAAAAACAGGCCUUGCCCCUGACUUUUCUGUAUAGAAUUUAUCCACACGUGGAUGGGGCUUUCUACCACAUAUGGAUGGCACAGAAAGACUUUAUCAGAAGAGUAGGAUUCCCCAGCUCUGCUUUACUGUAACAAGUUAGUCAAGCUAUAAUUUGGACUCCUCCUCUACAAACAAGUCCAUGCUAUCGAAAGCCCCCAAGUAUUGUCAAUAAAAGUCUCUGCUAAGGGAUGAAACUGCUCUGAACCUGUAUUUUUCUCCUGAGUUUCUACUUUCUCUCUGCUUCCCACCAUUCUGCUCCUGCAUCUACCACUCACAUGGAGUCUAAAAACGUCAUGAGCUGAGCAGAGGGCAUAAGCUGCCUUCAUCUAAAUGCUGGAGGCUACUGCUCCUGCAGUUCAUGUGUGUUUCACAGUCAUGAACUGCAGAGAAGACAAAAACUUCAGUAAAAUAACCUUAAAUCUUCUCAGCAUCAUCCUAUGGUAACUCUUUGUCAUGACGAUAAAAGUACAUUUAAUUACACAGACAAAUUACGCAUUAUGUCAUUCACAAUAAAAGGACAUUAAGACUGAAAUUCUUGGAAAUAGCAUGACAGCUACAAUGAAGCUCAUGCAUCAUUCCAACAUUAUUCAUUCCAAAUUGUAAGAGUUGCAGAUCAGGGUGCUUCAGUGUGUUGAAUGCAAGCUCCCUAUAAAUCCAGGCAGGAGCUUGUGAUAUCCUUCCAGUCUAUCCUCACUAGUGACAAUACAUGGGAGGGAAUGAGGAGAAAAAACUACUGUGGAAAUAUUUUUUUUUAAAAAAAAUAGUCUGUAACACCAAAAAUACUCCAUUUCAAAAUCAAAAUUUUGCUAAUGAUUAGAAACUCACCAAGAGUUAUGUUGUGCCGCUGAAUUUUCCUAGCAUACGAAAGGCAUUCCUAGGAAGAAGAGUUUCCUCAGGGCUGAGAAUAUUUUCUUUGCUCUCAUCCUCUAUAAGAAAAAAGAAAAAUUGCUUUUAAGACCAAAUGUGCAGCAUGGCAGACUGUGCUGCUUAGAAAAUCCUCAUGCCUGACCUUCCGAUGGGCAAGACCUGAAAUGUCUUUUUUUUUG